UAAGCACAAUGCAGGAGGCUGCCUGUUGUCUGAACAUUUUCCUUUGCCUUGGGCUGGAUGCUGCGCAUGAUACCACCCUUCAAGUGAGCACUUCAUGGACAGAGGGGACCAUCAGUUCAUCUCACCUGGCUCAGACUGGCUCAGAAGCACAAGAGAAUGGGGCCCUGCAGGUUUUCUUCUCUGUCCAUGGGUCACAUGAGCCAAGACCCAAUUGCAGAGCAUCCCGGAGCUCACGGUUGGCUCUUCAUACGCCCAUCAGCUGCAGAAG
rnacentral:lncRNA from 1 species